rnacentral:rRNA from 1 species
UACGUAGGCGGCGAGCGUCGUCCGGAUUUAUUGGGUUUAAAGGGUGCGUAGGCGGUUAUAUAAGUCAGUGCUGAAAUAUCCCGGCUAAACCGGGAGGGUGGCAUUGAUACUGUAUAACUUGAGUAAAGUUGAGGUGGGCGGAAUUGACGGUGUAGCGGUGAAAUGCUUAGAUAUCGUCAAGAACACCGAUUGCGAAGGCAGCUCACUAAGCUUUAACUGACGCUGAGGCACGAAAGUGUGGGGAUCAAACAGG